UGGAAAUAGUCCUGCUUUCUCACGCUCC
rnacentral:piRNA from 1 species